rnacentral:rRNA from 1 species
AAUAUUGGACAAUGGGGGGAACCCUGAUCCAGCUAUGCCGCGUGUGUGAAGACGGUCUUCGGUUUGUAUAGCACUUUAAGUUGGGAGGAAGGGCUGAACGCUAAUACCUUUCUGUUUUGACGCUACCGACAGAUUAAGUCCCGGUUUACUUCGUGUCGGCAGCUGCGGUAAUACGAAGGGUGCAAGCGUUAAUCGGAAUUACUGGGCGUAAAGCGCGCGUAGGUGGUUUGUUAAGUUGGAAGUGAAAGCCCCGGGCUCAACCUGGGAACUGCUUUCAAAACUGGCAAGCUAAAGUAUGGCAGAGGGUGGUGGAAUUUCCUGUGUAGCGGUGAAAUGCGUAGAUAUAGGAAGGAACACCAGUGGCGAAGGCGACUACCUGGACUGAUACUGACACUGAGGUGCGAAAGCGUGGAGAGCAAACAGG